ensembl:miRNA MIR5591 microRNA 5591
UGGGAGCUAAGCUAUGGGUAUACUGAGCUUAUGUAUGCAUCUGCAUACCCAUAGCUUAGCUCCCA